UCCCGAGUCUCGUAGUCGACUACAGUCCAGAGCAGAAGUGUUGCUGUAGUUUUAUUCACUCAGCUCAGCCUCAUUCCCCCGAGCUGCGAGGAUCUCCUCGCCACCGGCUUCAUGUUUGCUGACAUGGUGUCGCAGUUGACGUCUCUUCAGCAGGAGUUACUGAGCGCCUUGUUGGACUCGGGACUGACCAAGGACGAGCUUGUCCAGGCGCUGCACGAGCUAGAGCCGCGUCCGCCAAACUUCGCCAUCAAAACCGAGAAGCCUUUAUCCCCAGCCAGCGCUAACAGUGCCAGCGAUACGGACUCCAAGCCGGUGUACAUGACCCUGCAAGCCAGAGGGAGUAAAAUGUCCGGGGAUGAAGGCUCAGAGUCCGGGGAGGACUUCGACACGCCGCCUAUCCUGAGAGAACUGCAGGCGCUGAACACCGAGGAGGCCAACGAACAGCGCGCCAUGGUGGAGCGCAUGCUGGCGGAGGAUCCUUGGCGCUCUGCUCGCACUAUUAAAAGCUACAUGCAGCAGCACAACAUUCCUCAGCGCGAGGUGGUGGACGUAACAGGAUUGAAUCAGUCUCACCUCUCGCAGCACCUAAACAAAGGAACACCAAUGAAAACAACCAAACGAGCCUCGCUUUACGCCUGGUAUGCCCAGAAACAGCGAGAGAUUGAGCGGCAGUUCGAUCGUGUUCAAGGCUCCAGUGACUCAAGCAGUCAGGAUCAGGUGCUGUAUUUUUUCCCAGAAUUCCACCACAGCGGGCAGAACACGAGCUCCACGUCAGGGACACUCCCUGACGAAGGUGCCUUGGGUUCAAAAAGACUGAGACGGAACCGUUUUAAAUGGGGACCGGCGUCUCAGGAGAUCUUGUACAAGGCCUACGAGAGGCAGAAGAACCCCAGCAAAGAGGAGAGAGAAGCGCUGGUGGAGGAAUGCAACAGGGCCGAGUGUGUACAGAGGGGAGUGUCACCCUCUAAAGCCCACGGUCUCGGCUCGAACCUGGUCACGGAAGUUCGCGUCUAUAACUGGUUUGCUAACCGGCGCAAAGAAGAGGCUUUCAGACAGAAGCUGGCGAUGGACACAUAUCCGGUUCACAGCUUGAACCCCUUACUGCCUCCCACACACAGCCAGCACCAUCACAGCAGCCCAGAUACGAAACUCAGAUACAGCCAACAGGGAUCCAGCGACAUCACUUCGACGACCGGAAUCGGUCACCACGGCAACAGCCAGUUGGUGUUACAGCAGGUAUCUCCACCUGGCCUGGACCCCUGUCACAGCCUGUUGUCCCCCGAAGCCAAGAUGAUUUCAGCCUCGGGUGGAGUCUUACCCCCUGUGAGCACUCUGACUAACAUCCACAGUCUGUCUCAGUCAUCUCACCAUCACCAGCAGGCUCAGAGUCUCAUCAUGACCCUCGCUGCUCAGAGCCUGAGCGCUCCCCCAUCUCAGAACGUUCCCAUCAUUAACAGCAUGUCUGGACUGACGGCGUUGCAGCCCAUGCAGUUUCCACACAGCCCCAGUCUCACACCUCUUACCACUGCACACUCGUCUCAGCAGGCCUACACACACAUUAACGAUGAUAACGAAUCGGAUUUUGGUGCCUUCCCAAGUGUACUCGCCCAAGCAGGAGCCUCCUCAGUACUCUCACCCACCUCGAUUCUCCUCCAUGGACGCCGGUGCUAUCUCUCAUCUGAGUUCUAGCAAGCAGGAGGUUUGGGGUCAGAGCACAGGGUCAACCAUGAUACAACACCCCUGGAGCAGGUGUCCUUUGCAGGCCUGGUGACAGUGUACAGGCGUGAACAUACUACCUCGGCAGCUACAAGCGACAAGAGUGCCUUACCGCAGCGGCCUUGACGAUCUCUCAAGCCAAAGAACCGUAAAAGCAGAGCACUGCGAUCACUGAAGAACACAGAAUUGUUUUUUCACUUUCUGGAAGAAGAAAAGAGGAGGAUCGACUCUGUGGCACACCAUAACGCUCGUUAACGGGCUUCAGUUUAGCGUGUUUCCUGUCCAAAACAACAGAACCGUCAGACCGAGCCACAUCUGCACUGAGUAUUUGUCUGAUGAACUAGUGAACAUUCGUAGCAUUUGUACAGACCUACGCUAGGUUUUAAACGGACACGGCAAACACGGACUCGUGUAAAAUCCUGCAUCAGUCGACUUCAGUGGUGUAAAUAGUCCUAAAUGAGAUGUUCCUAAAAUUUCAGGUCAGAUUUGAGAUGAAGCAGGAGAAAAUAACGGUCCUGCUGUGUGCUGUAUGAUUCUGUAUUAUUCAAUUUCAUUUCAUGUAUUUCAUUGGAUCAUUUCAUGUUUUUGCUUAUAAUAAACAUAACAGAAGAGAAACCAGAAAAAAGUUACUCUCAGGGACUGAUCUCAUGCAUAAAAAAAUAUCUUGUGUCGAACAUCCUUCUGGACUUCAAUCAUAUAUAUAUUCCUGUAAACCUGUAAAUUGCAAUUUCUUUCAUUUGAUCUACAUCUAACAUCUGUAUUCGUCCCUGAGGGGUUUAUGUAGAUAUAUAUAAAUGCAUUAAGUUGCCACAGUGGAGUGAUUUUAUUUCCCAGAAUGCUCAGGGUGCUCAGCUUGAGGCAGGUUGUGAGAAAGAGAGCUGUAUAGGGAGGGAUGUUUAUUUUAGAUUCACCUCAUUAGGUCUAUUUCCUCUGACUCUGACCCGAACCUCUGCUCACACGGUGUGAAGAGUCACUCCGAGGAAAUGAGCAAAUGAAGUCAUUCUGUUAUUGUUUUGUUUUUUCGGUUAUCGUAUGAACUUUCCAGGCUGUGAUUAAAACUCCUGAGAGAAAACCACAAACAAAACGCUUAACAUCAAAUUGGAAGAUAAAAAAAAAAACUGAUGAAAAAAUGAUGACUAGGAAUUAAUUUUUUUAAAAGAAAAAAAGUCACAUUUCAGUGUAUUAUAUAAUGAUAGUGUAGUUUGUACAUUAGACCAAGCUAAUAUUAUUGUUAAUAAUAAUAGUGUGUAGUAUAACUUGAUGAGAUCAUUACUUCCUGUGGUUUUGUUGUUUAUACAAAUUAUUUUCCCUGAGGUUUGUCUACCAAAUAUUUGACAAUAUCUAUUAAAUUUGUAUUCGUUA